rnacentral:rRNA from 1 species
AUAUUGGACAAUGGGCGAAAGCCUGAUCCAGCCAUGCCGCGUGUGUGAAGAAGGUCUUCGGAUUGUCACGCACUUUAAGUUGGGCGGAAGGGCAGUAAGCGAAUACCUUGUUGUUUUGACGUUACCGACAGAAAAAGCACCGGCUAACCCUGUGCAAGCCGCCGCGGUAAGACAGAGGGGGCAAGCGUUAAUCGGAAUUACUGGGCGUAAAGCGCGCGUAGGUGGUUCGUUAAGUUGGAUGUAAAAUCCCCGGGCUCAACCUAGGAACUGCAUCCAAAACUGGCGAGCUAGAGUAGGGCAGAGGGUGGUGGAAUUUCCUGUGUAGCGGUGAAAUGCGUAGAUAUAGGAAGGAACACCAGUGGCGAAGGCGACCACCUGGGCUCAUACUGACACUGAGGUGCGAAAGCGUGGGGAGCAAAC